UAAGCCUGUGAAGGUGUGUCGUGAGGCAUGCUGGAGGUAUCAGAAGUGCGAAUGCUGACAUAAGUAACGAUAAAGCGGGUGAAAAGCCCGCUCGCCGGAAGACCAAGGGUUCCUGUCCAACGUUAAUCGGGGCAGGGUGAGUCGACCCCUAAGGCGAGGCCGAAAGGCGUAGUCGAUGGGAAACGGGUUAAUAUUCCCGUACUUGGUGUUACUGCGAAGGGGGGACGGAGAAGGCUAUGUUGGCCGGGCGACGGUUGUCCCGGUUUAAGCGUGUAGGUGUGUGUUCCAGGUAAAUCCGGUUCACUUUAACACUGAGGCGUGAUGACGAGGCACUACGGUGCUGAAGCAACAAAUGCCCUGCUUCCAGGAAAAGCCUCUAAGCAUCAGGUAACAUCAAAUCGUACCCCAAACCGACACAGGUGGUCAGGUAGAGAAUACCAAGGCGCUUGAGAGAACUCGGGUGAAGGAACUAGGCAAAAUGGUGCCGUAACUUCGGGAGAAGGCACGCUGACACGUAG
rnacentral:rRNA from 1 species